UACGGAGGGAGCUAGCGUUGUUCGGAAUUACUGGGCGUAAAGCGCACGUAGGCGGCUUUUUAAGUCAGGGGUGAAAUCCCGGGGCUCAACCCCGGAACUGCCCUUGAAACUGGAAAGCUAGAAUCUUGGAGAGGCGAGUGGAAUUCCGAGUGUAGAGGUGAAAUUCGUAGAUAUUCGGAAGAACACCAGUGGCGAAGGCGACUCGCUGGACAAGUAUUGACGCUGAGGUGCGAAAGCGGGGGGAGCAAACAGG
rnacentral:rRNA from 1 species